GACGAACGCUGGCGGCGUGCUUAACACAUGCAAGUCGAACGCCGUAGCAAUACGGAGUGGCAGACGGGUGAGUAACGCGUGGGAACAUACCCCUCGGUUCGGAAUAACUCAGGGAAACUUGAGCUAAUACCGGAUACGUCCGAGGUUUUAAUCGACCUUGGAGAAAGAUUUAUCGCCGGAGGAUUGGCCCGCGUCUGAUUAGCUUGUUGGUGAGGUAAUGGCUCACCAAGGCGACGACAGUAGCUGGUCUGAGAGGAUGAUCAGCCACA
rnacentral:rRNA from 1 species